UAGUAAGAUAUUUUUUCAACAUAUGGUGUCACUUUCGUAUUGGGGACCCAAGAGGAUGUUGUAUGUCUCAGAAAACCCACCACACUGCCGGUCCUUAGAGAAGAAACUGAAAGUGUGUGUGUGUGGCAAUUUCAAUGACCAAGGUUACCCAAGCAGCAGUUUACCACGGCAGUAAAUCUCUGGAUAAUAAUUGCCACCAGUUUGAGGACUUCUUGUAAUUGUAGAGGCUGAAGGUCUUGAAGUGGUGAAGAAGCAAACACACGUAAUGACUUCCAAGGCUGUGCCCAGCAUCACAGGGCAGCAAGUCCUUGUCUCCUCCUGGAUCUGCAAAGGACCACACUGCAGGAAAGUUCAUCUUACCUUACUUGAAUCAAAUGAGACCUUUGUAACGUAGAGGAGCAGUAUUAAUGUUGGACAGCCGUGUAGAUGCAUUAUAUGCUGAUGUUUCAUUCUUCACCUCUCUUUCCAUUAUACACAUUUUCUUUCAUCUAGUUUAUUAUUCCAACUGCUCUUGCUUUAAUAUAAUCACAAAUCAUUUUCAUACAUGUCAGCUCUGUCCUAGUUCUGUGCUGGGUUUCAGGGAUUCUAAGAAGAUACUGUUUUGAUAUUCUUGGUGAACUAAGUGAAUACCUCAUGCUGGGUCUUGUUUCCUCUGUUAACAAAUGGCCAUUCCUUCAACAAAGCUGAAACUACCAUGACUUUCAUAACUUUGGAAAACUUGAAGAAACACCUUGUAUGUAAAAAGUCUGAUUUGUAAAUUUCUUUUUGCCCUUGCAUUUAUAACAGCUGUAAAAAUAAAACUGAAGAUAAUGGGCAUAGCAACCCCCAGGCUCCAUCUCUUAGGCUCUUGAGGCCCGUGCGGCCCUGCUGCAUUCUCUGUAGCCCUGUGGAGGGAGACUCACAGGGAAAAAGCUGGAAACUCUGGAAGCCCAAAGUGAACCCUGCAAUCUCCACGAGAGUAAGCGCACAGUAGUCUCCUGGCAGGUGAGAUAUCACAGGGUGGAGGAUCAAAAUACCCCAGGUUACAACCAUCUCACUCUCUGAACUUAGCACCAGUCAACACUUAGGUGUUGGGAGACACCGAGGAAGGACAACAAACAGUUCAGAAGCCAGAAACAGCAGAGUCAACCCCAGGAGCUUGCCUCCUGAAAUGAGUGAGGGAGAGUAGUAUAACAUGGAGCUGAUGUUUCCUUGUUCAAAGAAACAGAAAAACCAAAGUCACCCACCUCAUACUAAAAAGAGGUAAAGUUUUUCCUUGUUUUUGUCUGUUUUCUGAAAACACUGUGAAAUGUAUAAAAAAAAUAGUUGUCUGUAUAUAGUAGAUAUGACACGUCUGUUUUUUAUAUACAAAGUGUAUUUCUGUGUAAAACUCGAUGAGAUAGGGUCAGGAUAAACAAUGAUUUUUUAAUAGUAAAUUCCAGAAUAAAUAUUUAUGUUGUCCUAGUUCCGAGGUCUUUAUAAUGUUAAUAUAUAUUUUGCCUUUUGAUUUUGCACAAAAUUUCCAUGGCAUGUUGUUGUAGCAAUCCUGGGAAUAAUAUGUUCUUUCCUCCUGCUAGCAAUUGUAGGCUUAGGAUAUAUGUGUGAGUAUGAGGUAUACUAUUUCUUAUGAAAAUAGUGAUUGAAAAAUGAGAUACUAUAAUUGCUGAAUUUCUGGUGAGUCUUAUAGUGGUCAUUUUGGUAGUUAUGAUAGAGUUGAUCACGAUGUGAAUAAUGAUGAUGAUUUUAUUAUUUUACUAUUAUUCAGUUUUUGUGCCACAUAAAAUUGUGUAGAGCUAUUAUUACAUAA